CAGUCGCCACGGUAAAACGGAGGAUCCAAGCGUUAUCCGGAUUUAUUGGGUUUAAAGGGUGCGUAGGUGGCCUGUUAAGUCAGGGGUGAAAGACGGUAGCUCAACUAUCGCAGUGCCUUUGAUACUGACGGGCUUGAAUGAACUAGAGGUAGGCGGAAUGUGACAAGUAGCGGUGAAAUGCAUAGAUAUGUCACAGAACACCAAUUGCGAAGGCAGCUUACUAUGGUUUUAUUGACACUGAGGCACGAAAGCGUGGGGAUCAAACAGGAUUAGAGACCCGUGUAGUCCCUGUCUCUUAUAC
rnacentral:rRNA from 1 species